GGCUCAGUGGUCUAGGGGUAUGAUUCUCGCUUUGGGUGCGAGAGGUCCCGGUUCAAAUCCCGGCUGAGCCC
rnacentral:tRNA from 1 species